rnacentral:tRNA from 3 species
UGCGGAUUAGCUCAGUUGGAAGCAGCGGCCGGCUCUGAACCGGCAGAUCAAAGGUUCGAAUCCUUUAUCCGCAG